GCCGGACAUGGUGGUGCAUGCCUGUAAUCCCAGCUACUCAGGAGGCUGAGGCAUGAGAAUUGCUUGAAUCCAGGAGGCCGAGGUUGCAGUGAGCCAAGAUUGUGCCACUGCACUCCAGCCUGGGCGACAGAGCAAGAUUCUGUCUCAA
ensembl:misc_RNA Metazoa_SRP Metazoan signal recognition particle RNA